rnacentral:lncRNA from 10 species
UUUGAUGACACGUAGAUGUUACGUGAUAUAAGCACAGUAAGCCUUUCCUGUUCUCAUUAGUUCCUCAUACUGAUUAUGUCCAAGUUUCUCUGAGUAGGUAGCCAAACCAUCAUGAGCUUUGGAGGUUUUCUCCUUCUCACGGAUGUCUUAUUAAAAGAAAAUUCACCAGCAUCUAGCAGAAAAGUACUGUUUUCCGUAUUUUAUCAUCUAAAGUGCCAUACGACUCAGACAUUGUAUCACCGACUUACGCCUCACAAAAGACAUAUCAGGUUGUUACCAUUCCCUUUUUGCAAAUGAGAAACUGAGUCUCAGUGAAGUUGAGGGUCAUCUGCCAAUAGGCUUUUAUGGAAGAUAUUUUGGAAUGGAGAGAAAAGUCAACUUUCUUGUGUUUCCAGGAUGUUACUUCAGCAUGUCCACUGGAUACCUAGGUAUCCAGUAGGAUACUACGUAUCUGGAUAGAUCAAGGAUACUGAGAUGCUACGUAUCUCAGCAGAUCUGGUGGAGAAUUCCUUAAUUUACUGGAAAAGAAAGACUAAGCCAACAACUCUUUUUAAUGAAAGACCCUAGGUUUGAAGAGAUUACAAGACAAGUCAUCAGAACAACCUGUGGGCAGUGUAAUGAAGCCUGGCAGUUAUCACAACUAUCACCGCUUUAAAAUAUUAAGUAUGAUACACAGUAGCAUCAAUUUUUAAAAUGUGGUCCUGGUAUUCCUGGCAGAUCCUGAGAUCUUUCUAGGAAGCCAAUGAGGUAAAAAACAUUUUCAUAUUAGCAUGAGCAUGUUAUUUACCAUUUUCACUGUGUGGACAUCCACAAUGAUGGUGUAAAAGUAAUGGUGGGUAAAACUGGAUGCCUCAGCACGAAUCAAGGAAGUGGCACCAAACUGAAAUAGCAGUUGUCAUUGUAUUCUUCAAUAUUACACAUUCACAGUAAAACAAAACAAAAAAGCAAAAAACAAACAAACAAAAACAAUGCCCCAGCUUUACCUAAAACUAUCCUUGCUGAAGAAAUGAAAGUUAUUAACUUAAUUCAAUUUCAUCCCACAGGUCUUCUUACUCCUCUGUGUGAUGAAAUGGAAGGCACUCACACUGGUCACAGUGGUCAUCUCAAGGAAAAGUACUUGUGCAUCUGAGUUGCAAGCUAAACUAGCAGCUCUUCUCCUGGAAUGCAUUUUUUUUUUUUUUUUUUUUUUUUUUUUUACAGAAAAGAAUGAACAAGUGUCAGAAAAGAAUGUUUAUUCAGACUUGGAUAUUUUAAAGACAUUUUAUCAAAAAUAAACUAAGUGAGCCUGCCACUUCAAAGAACACAACCGACAAAUUGUCGUCAAUAAUACUUGUCACGUUUCUAAGCAAAAAUCAGUUAGGAAGCUUCUGUCUACCAGCAUAAGCUUGACUUUUACCUAAUGUAUACUAUAAAACAUCCAGCCUCACACGGAUAUGUAGUGAGAAAAGGUGGAAGUAUUUUAAUAGCCUUUUAAGAUAAUUAGAUAGUUUAGAUAACUAAUAAUUUAGGAGAUAAUAAUUAUUCUCCUUUGAUACUGCACUAAAAACUGGCAUGUAGUAGUUUUUUAAAUAGUUGUUGGAAUGUGGAAUUUGAAGCCACAUAAGUGAUUUUUUUUUUUCUUUUUUGAGAUGGAGUCUCACUCUAUCUCCCAGGCUGAGUCUCACUCUAUCUCCCAGGCUGGAGUGCAGUGGCGCGAUCUUGGCUCAUUGCAACCUCUGCCUCCCAGGUUCAAGCCAUUCUCCUGCCUCAGCCUUCUGAGUAGCUGGGAUUACAGGCGUGUGCCACCACACCCAGCUAAUUUUUGUAUUUUUGGUAGAGAUGGGGUUUCACUAUGUUGGACAAACUGGUCUUGAACUCGUAACACCGCCCAGCGGUUGAUCUGCCUGCCUCGGCCUCCCAAAGUACUGGAAUUACAGGCGUGUGCCAUUGUGCCUGUCCAUAAGUGAUUUUUUUUCAUAUUUUAUUACAUUACUUCAUAUACUUCAACCAAACAACAUAUCACAACAUAUUGAAGGCAAAAGCAGAUACAAAAUUCGGUCAUUUUAUAUUAAAGCUGACUUUAAUUUAUAAAUUUAUAAAAGUAUAAAACAAUAUAUAUCUUCUCACUCAUUUUUAUUUUAAAAAUAGUUACUUUAUUAAAAUACGUUAUUUAUGUUAAUAUGUAAUAGGCUUAUAUUGUCAUAUUUGCAUGCAUUCAUAUAUAUUUUUAACUGUCUCAGUUUUAAUUGCUCAUACAGAACAUAAUUAGUAGAUAUAACCCAUACAAACAGAAGCUCUUUGGGGUCCUCAGUAGUUUUAAAGAGAGUAAAAGCAUUCUGUGAUCAAAAAGUUCAAAAACCAUUGCACUCUAACAAUCUUUGAGCUUGCAAAAAUUACCUCAAAAAGCCAUUUUCAGUAUGGAAUGAAUGGGUGUGAUGGCCCAGUUUCCAAUACCUACCGUCAUUUAGCCCCCAUUCCUUUUGAGCUAGUCCAGAGAGGUGUGGCUGGUAGGCAGAGAGUUGAGGCCUACAGAGCUCUGGUCAUUUAUCUAAAAUAUAGUUCUAACUCUAAAAUGGACAAAGGCUAAUAGCUGCACAUUUGUCCUAUAAGACAGAGCCCCAGUAUUAGGUGGUUGUGUGUAUCUCUUUUCCAUAGCAUCAACCCUGUAUCUCAGUGUAGGUAGCAUGUCAUCUUCUAGAAAGGUAACUUGAUACAGACCCAGGCUUGAAGAUAAGAGCGCCGGGUUCUCUUCUCAGACUCACCAUUAACCAGUCUUAUGACCUGAGCAGUCUCUCUCUCUGGACUUCAGUGUCCUUAUUCACAAAAGGCAGAUGUUUGGUAACAGGACCAUACGCUCUCUAAGAUAUUUUUCAACUUGGAAAUUCUAUGAAUCAAUUUGGAGAAAUAUUUGAAAGACAAUAAGAAUAACAGUUGACUUUUAUAUGGUAUUUUAUACUUGCUAAAUUACUUUUCCUUCCAAAUUCUUGGCUGGUGUUAAUUUCACGGCAAUUGAGAUUAAGGAUUCCAGAGGCGAUAGACUGGUAUUGAGUUCUGAUGUGUCACUAACCAGCUGUGUGGCCUUGAGUAGGUUAUUUAACCCAUCUACAGCUCAGAGAGUUGAUAAGGUGAUUAAAUGAGGUAAGGCAUGCACAGUAUUUAGAAUAGAUUCCGGCCUAUGUUACACACACAGUAACUAUUAUUAACACCUGAUUCAAUGUAUUGUAAUUGUAUGUUCACAUGUCUCUCUCCCCUCCUAGACUAUGAACUCCUUAUAGAUGAAGACCUCAUCCUGCUCAUCACUGCAUUCCUAGCAUAGUGCCUAGGUCAUAAUCAGUACUCAGUAAAUGCUCACUAAAUGGAAGAGUGGAUGACUUAUGUGAUAGUUUAAAUCAUUGUCCAGUAUAUAUUCAGUUCUCGAUACCUCCUUCUUUGGGCAGAGUUUAAUUUUCCAUGUUAUUUGGGUUGAUCCAUGAGAUUUCAGAGGGCUUAAAUGCACAUGUAUAGUUUGGCUUGAGUCUUGUGCUCUGAUGAUGAUAAUGGUGAUGAGGAUAAUCCAUGAGAAUUGUCAUCCAGAUAGCCAGUGCUUCUUUAGCAUGGGCCCCAGAAUGACAGAGACAGUGUAGCAGACAAUCAUGCUCUGAAGAACAGCCUUCUAGCCAGUACCACCCCUAAUCACAGACAGCUCUCCCAGGCAGUGCUGUAUUUCUUUCAUGGCAUCAUGUGAGAUUAAGCUGCCAGAAUUUUGCUGAUUUGGGGUGAACAGAAUUGUUUAUAUAUAGACAGGUCUCCACACGAAAUAUUCCUGUGUUGUCCAUACACUCCAAAAGCAGCCCUGCCAUGAGCCAAGGCCAUCCUAGACCACCUGAUAUUGACCUGAAGACUCAUGAAUACAAGAAUACAUGUCUGUUGCUAAAUGACUGAGAUUUGGGGAUGGUUUUAAAAAUGACAGUAAUGUGGCAAUCAUAGAUAGAUUGAUACAACUGUACAAUCUAUGAGGUAAUUGUUAUUGUUCUUCCCAUUUUAAAUGUGAGAAGAUUAACAAAGGGGAUAUCAUCUAGAAAGCACUUGUUCGCUAAUAAUAGAAAACAGCUCAAAUUGUUAUACAGGAUAAUAGAACCCAAAAAGGCAGAGGUAGUGCAAAGAGAGCUCCUGAUGAAGCUGAGCCAGUGGGUCCCCAGGGUCACCAGGAUCCCAUUUCUAUGUAUCUAUUCAUAUUGCCUUUUGCCAUGACAGUUUCUUCUUCGAGCUGCUAUGGGCUCAUCUGUGCAUAUUUGCACAGGCAGAGUUCCUAGAGCCUGUACCAUCUCUACAAGGUCCUCAAGACUCACUCUGAGCAGACCCUCUAGGGUCAACACCAGUCCUUAUCCAUUCCCAAUUCUACCCUGUGUAUGUGUGUUUUUAAUCAUCACUCACUUAUUUAACAAAUAUUUAUUGAGUGCCUUCUCUGUCAGGUACUUUUCUAUGUAGUGGGAAUACACUAUUGAAUGAGGCAGGAAUAGUCACUGUGCACGCGGGAGUUACAUACUCUAUAUUGUAUAUAAUAAUACAGACAAAUAGGCUAGGGAGAGAGGGAGCUAGAUAAUUAUAUAUACAGAAACCUAAUGAUGGCUAUCAUUUACCAAGACCAAAAGCAGGCAUUAUGCCAGAGGUUUUUAAUUCAAUCUUCAAAAUAAUGUUACAAGAUAAGACUUAUUGUUCACAUUUUUAUCAUUAACAAAAUGGUACACAGCAAAAAUGAGUAAUUUACUAGGCUCAAACAACAAGGCUAAAUUUAUAAUUUUUUGUUACUCAUCUGCCAUGCACAUUGCCUGUCAUACAUGAAAAAUCCUGUUCCUCUUUGGAUUAACUAUAAUUCCCAUACCAAAUGAUGUUAGAAUAAACUAUCCUUUAUUAAUUUUAUUAAUUUAGCUAAAUCCCUUAGAAUGCUUUGGCUAAAUACAAAGUGCUUAGAACCUCAUUUAUUAAUCAAUUUUUCAAAAAUAAAACAUUUUCUGUAUCUGUAGAUACUACAUGUAUAUCAUUGGUG